UAGGGAAUAUUGCAAAAUGGGCGAAAGCCCGAUGCAGCAACGCCGCGUGGGCGAUGAAGGCCUUCGGGUCGUAAAGCCCUUUUUGAGGGGAUGAGGAAGGACAGUACCCUCAGAAUUAGCCUCGGCUAACUACGUGCCAGCAGCCGCGGUAAAACGUAGGAGGCGAGCGUUAUCCGGAUUUACUGGGCGUAAAGCGCGUGCAGGCGGAUUGGAGAGUUGGAUGUGAAAGCUCCCGGCUUAACUGGGAGAGGUCGUUCAAUACUUCCAGUCUUGAGUGCAGUAGAGGGGAGUGGAAUUCCGGGUGUAGUGGUGAAAUGCGUAGAUAUCCGGAGGAACACCAGUGGCGAAAGCGGCUUCCUGGACUGUAACUGACGCUCAGACGCGAAAGCUAGGGUAGCAAACG
rnacentral:rRNA from 1 species